rnacentral:rRNA from 1 species
UUGGAGGGCAAGUCUGGUGCCAGCAGCCGCGGUAAUUCCAGCUCCAAUAGCGUAUAUUAAAGUUGUUGCAGUUAAAAAGCUCGUAGUUGAAAUUCGGGGUCAGUAGGUUGGUCAUGCCACUGGUAUGAACUGGUCUCACUGAUUCCUCCUUCCUGAUGAGCCGUAAUGCCAUUAAUUUGGUGUUGCGAGGAAUCUGGACUGUUACUUUGAAAAAAUUAGAGUGUUUAAAGCAGGCUAACGCUUGAAUACAUUAGCAUGGAAUAAUGAAAUAGGACGUUCGAUCUUAUUUUGUUGGUUUCUAAGAUUGACGUACUGAUUAAUAGGGAUAGUUGGGGGCAUUAGUAUUCAAUUGUCAGAGGUGAAACUCUUGGAUUUAUUGAAGACUAACUACUGCGAAAGCAUUUGCCAAGGAUGUUUUCAUUAAUCAAGAACGAAAGUUAGGGGAUCGAAGACGAUCAGAUACCGUCGUAGUCUUAACCAUAAACUAUGCCGACUAGGGAUCGGAUGAUGUUAAUUUUUUAAUGACUCAUUCGGCGCCUUACGGGAAACCAAAGUGUUUGGGUUC